AUCUUAGCUGGAUGACUCUUACGAAACAGAAGGAUUUCGUACAUGUCCCAUGGUAUGUUAAGCAUUUACAUGGAUUAUGGUGCUUAAUUCUCAUGACGUCUAAGAGGUAGCUCUCUUGUUAGAGUCACUGAGGCUGAGGAACAGAGACACCAAUGACUUGUCCAAGACCGUCUGGCGCUGGUCAGAAGGAAUCAAAUCUUGUCCCAGGCAGCCGGAUGCUAGAGCCUGCGCUGAGGUACAAGUUGGUCCCACAUGCUGCUUUUUGCAAGGCUGUGUCCCACUGAGAGCUAAUUAGGAGGCCAAGGGAAUUACUUGACAUGUUUAUGGAAGGGACACAGAGGACAAGAAACAAGGGAACACAUUCCCUCUUUGUCUUUACAGUGAUGUGGUGAAGAAGAGCAGACAGUAUUCUUGCGCUGCAAUGGCAACAGGCAGUGGGAAUGAGGAGCAGAUGUGGGCAGCAAAAGUCCUCAUGCAGGGAGGGCUCCGUGAACUGGAAGCUGUGGGUGGCGUCUGCCCAUGGAGAGGGAGAGCCUGGGAGAAAAAACAACUAAGGUCCAGCAAGGAGCUACAAGCAACUGGGAAACAGAUUAAUGAGGUAGAGAAUCCAACAUUCUUAUCAGGCCUGAAGGACUACUUCAGUGCCAUGUUCUUAAUGACACCAGUGGACAGAGAAGUCCAAGUGUCUGGAAAAUGCUCGAGCACAGAAUGCUGUAUCACAUCUGACUUCUCUCAAGGAAAGAUGAGCAGAUUUGCCUACUCUGGAAGCUUUAUGUGACUGCAACCAGCAUCUCAAAACGGAACAUUAAAGUUAGAUUUUUUUCUAGAGAUGAGCAGCUCCUCCAAGCUUCCUCCUGCUGAGCCCAGAGCCCUCACUCCCUCCUCUCCUCAGCCCAAGAGCAGCGGCAGAACAGCAGGCUCACCCCGGAGGCUGGGGCCACAGUGUCUUCCCCACAGAAAGAGGAGGAGGAGCCUGGGACACUGGAGUGAUGGAGCAGAUGUGGAGAUUGGUCCGCUCCCCGCUGUCCCUUUUAGAAAAGACCCUGUCCACCUGCACAUGGGGAGAUGGUGAUUUGAGGCCCCUCUAUCUCCUUGGAGUGAGCUUUGAAUAAAUUAUUCCUUUUUUAAAAUUUUAUCAAAAUAAAUGACCUCCUUUGACUUAAGCCAGUGGCUAGCUGAUGAACCUGAGCUACUGAGUGUCCAGGAUCAUAAACAGAAUCCAACAACCGCCUUGUGUCUAUGUCCAGCUUUUCUCAGUACAGUGUCUCUGAGGCUCUUCCUUGUAGCAUGUAUUAUUACUUUGUUCCC
rnacentral:lncRNA from 1 species